rnacentral:tRNA from 1 species
AUUUAUAUAGUUUAAUAAAAACAUUACAUUUUCAUUGUAAAAAUAAAUUUAUUUACUUUAUAAAUA